UACGUAGGGGGCAAGCGUUGUCCGGAAUCAUUGGGCGUAAAGAGCGCGUAGGCGGCCCUGUAAGUCCGCUGUGAAAGUCAAGGGCUCAACCCUCGAAUGCCGGUGGAUACUGCAGGGCUAGAGUCCGGAAGAGGCGAGUGGAAUUCCUGGUGUAGCGGUGAAAUGCGCAGAUAUCAGGAGGAACACCGAUGGCGAAGGCAGCUCGCUGGGACGGUGCUGACGCUGAGGCGCGAAAGCGUGGGGAGCAAACAGG
rnacentral:rRNA from 1 species